AAGAAAUUUAGUUAUAUUUGAAUAUAUUUUACUAAAUUUUGACAAACAUAACAAAUGAUUUUUGAAUAGUUUAGUUGUUUUGGAUAUUUAGGUCCAACAUUAAUUGACAUAUUUAAAUUUUUUUUUUUUUUUGUCAACCGAUAUAAAUUAAAACUCAAAAGAGCCAAUCCCGAGGGAUAUUGUUUACAUACGUGACAUGAUGCGGUACGGUACGAAUCUUUCGUGCCAACUUAUCCGCUUUUACAUUUGCACUACGAGAAAUUAAAGAUAAAGAGAAAUUUGUGAAUUCUUCCCUAUCACUCUGCAACUCCUCCAAAUACACUGAAAACGCCGGCCAUUCGGUUGGAGAAGACACCAUCUUCACCAAGUCUGAACAGUCUGUAAAGAAAGCUACGUUCUGGUUAUCUGCUCCAAUCAUGCACUUCAUCGCCCAAAGAAGAGCUUCCAUUUCGGUAUGUAGAGGAGAUAGACUUCUACGAACGUUGGCGGCUCCCAUGGUUGGCGACUCUCCAAGAGAUGAUAGACAGAACGUUGGAGACAUAUUUAGAUUUAUAAUUAUAAUCUUAGAUAAUUAGAUUAUAUUAAGA
rnacentral:sRNA from 1 species